rnacentral:SRP_RNA from 1 species
GCCAGGCGCAGUGGAUGUGCCUGUAGUCCCAGCUAUUCAGGAGUCUGAGGCAGGAGGAUCUCUUUAGUCCAGGAGUUCUGGGCUGCAGUGCGCUGUGCCGAUUGGGUGUCCGCACUAAGUUCGGCAUCAAUAUGGUGACCUCCUGGGAGCAGGGGACCACCAGGUUGCCUAAGGAGGGGUGAACCGGCCCAGGUCGAAAACAGAGCAGGUCAAAACUCCCGUGCUGAUCAGUAGUGGGAUUGUGCCUGUGAAUAGCCACUGCACUCCAGCCUGGGCAACAUAGCAAGACCCCAUCUCU